CGGGAAGAGCUCAAAUUUAAAAUCUGGCCGGGUUACCGGUCCGAGUUGUAGUUUAUAGAAGUGUUUUCGGCGGCAACCUGGGUACAAGUCCUUUGGAACAGGGCAUCAUAGAGGGUGAGAAUCCCGUCCAUGACCCAGUGGAUGCUGCUAUGUGAUACACUUUCAAAGAGUCGAGUUGUUUGGGAUUGCAGCUCAAAAUGGGUGGUAAAUUUCAUCUAAAGCUAAAUACAGGCGAGAGACCGAUAGCGAACAAGUACCGUGAGGGAAAGAUGAAAAGAACUUUGAAAAGAGAGUUAAACAGUGCGUGAAAUUGUUGAAAGGGAAACGUUUGGCACCAGUCAUGCGUUCAGGAAAUCAGUCUAUCGAGGUGGGGAGUGGCAGGAGUUUGGACCGCAAGGCCAACUUUUGUUGCAUUUCUAUUUGGAUGGAUGCACUUUUCUGUAUGCAGGUCAACAUCAGUUUUGUUCGCCGGACAAAACCCCAAGGGAAUGUGGCAGCUUUGGCUGUGUUAUAGCUCUGGGGCGAUACGGUGGACGAGACUGAGGCUUUCAGUGUGUGCUCUCGGGCAAGGCUGACCGGGUGCUAUGAGCCAGUACGGGGUACAAUACAUGUAUUUUGCUUCGUGUCUGGCUUGUACUCGCUCGAAUCAGCUCUUCCA
rnacentral:rRNA from 2 species